rnacentral:rRNA from 1 species
GCCGAGCGGUAGAGUUUCUUCGGAAACUUGAGAGCGGCGCACGGGUGCGGAACACGUGUGCAACCUGCCUUUAUCUGGGGGAUAGCCUUUCGAAAGGAAGAUUAAUACCCCAUAAUAUACUGAAUGGCAUCAUUUGGUAUUGAAAACUCCGGUGGAUAGAGAUGGGCACGCGCAAGAUUAGAUAGUUGGUGAGGUAACGGCUCACCAAGUCUGCGAUCUUUAGGGGGCCUGAGAGGGUGAUCCCCCACACUGGUACUGAGACACGGACCAGACUCCUACGGGAGGCAGCAGUGAGGAAUAUUGGACAAUGGGUGAGAGCCUGAUCCAGCCAUCCCGCGUGAAGGACGACGGCCCUAUGGGUUGUAAACUUCUUUUGUAUAGGGAUAAACCUACUCUCGUGAGAGUAGCUGAAGGUACUAUACGAAUAAGCACCGGCUAACUCCGUGCCAGCAGCCGCGGUAAUACGGAGGGUGCAAGCGUUAUCCGGAUUUAUUGGGUUUAAAGGGUCCGUAGCGGAUCUGUAAGUCAGUGGUGAAAUCUCACAGCUUAACUGUGAAACUGCCAUUGAUACUGCAGGUCUUGAGUGUUAUUGAAGUAGCUGGAAUAAGUAGUGUAGCGGUGAAAUGCAUAGAUAUUACUUAGAACACCAAUUGCGAAAGCAGGUU